AUUUCAUAAUACAAUAAAAUAAAUGUAAUUUCACUAACCUGAAAACAAUCCAAGAGAAACUUGAAAUAUAGAUGUUUAUUAAUUGGAAACAAAUCAGUAAGUGAUUUGUUCCCAAGAAAUAGUAUUUCAAUUUCCUCUAGGAUUAUUUUCUGUUUAACCAAUCGGAUUUCUAGGUUUUUAGAAAAAUAGGGGGGAUUUGUCAUUUCUUAAAAAUAAGGGCGGUCCUAAAAUAGCGUGCCCUGAUCAAAAGUGCUAAUUGAAAUUACCUACAUUUCAGGCCGAUAACAAUAGCAGCUUAAUUAAAUCUCUGUCUACAAGUUUGUAUCUGCCAAAGCUAAAUAGGGUUGAGUCAAAGGUGUUAAUCUCAUGACAAAGACUAUUUGAUAAAAUUCUAGAAAAG
rnacentral:lncRNA from 1 species